rnacentral:misc_RNA from 1 species
UCAUACUUUUAAAGAUGAACCACAUGCAAUAAGUUAAGCUGUUUUAGAUCCUUGAUCCAAUAGAACAUUCAUCACACGAUUGGUGAACAUGUGUGUGUUUGUUUUAAUUAUGAAUCGGUACGAAAUGUACCAAGGAAAAGAUAAUACCGUCACUCCUUUAAAUGAGAAACAUUGAUUUUCUUUUACAAGUGUGGAGAUUUAAUCAAUAAU